UACGUAGGUCCCGAGCGUUAUCCGGAUUUAUUGGGUUUAAAGGGUGCGCAGGCGGCACGGCAAGCCGGCGGUCAAAUCGCGGGGCUCAACCCCGCCCAGCCGUCGGAACUGCCGGGCUAGAGUGGGCGAGAAGUGCGCGGAAUGCGUGGUGUAGCGGUGAAAUGCAUAGAUAUCACGCAGAACUCCGAUUGCGAAGGCAGCGCACCGGCGCCCUACUGACGCUCAGGCACGAAAGCGUGGGUAUCGAACAGG
rnacentral:rRNA from 1 species